UGAUCCUGGCUCACGAUGAACGCUAGCGGCAGGCUUACACAUGCAAGUCGAGGGGUAAGUCCUACUUGUAGGAAACACGACCGGCGCACGGGUGAGUAACGCGUAUGCAACCUGCCUCUAACUGGGGCAUAGCCCGAAGAAAUUCGGAUUAAUUUCCCAUAUUAUUCAAUGAUCGCAUGAUGAUUGAAUGAAAGCUCCGGCGGUUAGAGAUGGGCAUGCGGGUCAUUAGCUUGUUGGUGAGGUAACGGCUCACCAAGGCUGCGAUGACUAGGGGGCCUGAGAGGGUGAUCCCCCACACUGGUACUGAGACACGGACCAGACUUCUACGGAAGGCAGCAGUGAGGAAUAUUGGGCAAUGGAGGCAACUCUGACCCAGCCAUGCCGCGUGCAGGAUGACGGCCCUAUGGGUUGUAAACUGCUUUUCUGAGAGAAGAGUCCCCCCGAAUUUUCGGGGGUUGCCGGUAUCUCAGGAAUAAGCAUCGGCUAACUCCGUGCCAGCAGCCGCGGUAAUACGGAGGAUGCAAGCGUUAUCCGGAUUCAUUGGGUUUAAGGGGUGCGUAGGCGGGAAAGUAAGUCAGUGGUGAAAGCCUGCAGCUCAACUGUGGAACUGCCAUUGAUACUGCUUUUCUUGAGUUUGGUUGAGGUAGGCGGAAUGUGUAAUGUAGCGGUGAAAUGCUUAGAUAUUACACAGAACACCGAUUGCGAAGGCAGCUUACUAAACCGAUACUGACGCUGAUGCACGAAAGCGUGGGGAGCGAACAGGAUUAGAUACCCUGGUAGUCCACGCUGUAAACUAUGAUCACUCGCUGUUGGCAAUACAUCGUCAGCGGCUGAGCGAAAGCAUUAAGUGAUCCACCUGGGGAGUACGGUCGCAAGAUUGAAACUCAAAGGAAUUGACGGGGGCCCGCACAAGCGGUGGAACAUGUGGUUUAAUUCGAUGAUACGCGAGGAACCUUACCUGGGCUUAAAUGUAGACUGCAUUUCCGGGAAACCGGAAUUUCCUUCGGGACCGUCUACAAGGUGCUGCAUGGUUGUCGUCAGCUCGUGCCGUGAGGUGUCGGGUUAAGUCCCAUAACGAGCGCAACCCCUAUCGUUAGUUGCCAGCGAGUAAUGUCGGGGACUCUAGCGAAACUGCCGGUGUAAACCGAGAGGAAGGUGGGGAUGACGUCAAAUCAGCACGGCCCUUAUGUCCAGGGCUACACACGUGUUACAAUGGUCAGUACAAGGGGCAGCUACCUGGUGACAGGAUGCUAAUCUCGAAAACUGGUCUCAGUUCGGAUUGGAGUCUGCAAUUCGACUCCAUGAAGCUGGAAUCGCUAGUAAUCGCGCAUCAGCAACGGCGCGGUGAUACGUUCCCGGGCCUUGUACACACCGCCCGUCAAGCCAUGGAAGCUGGGGGUGCCUGAAGUCCGUAACCGAAAGGAUCGGCCUAGGGUAAAACCGCUGACUGGGGCUAAGUCGU
rnacentral:rRNA from 1 species